rnacentral:rRNA from 1 species
GUGGGGAAUAUUGGGCAAUGGGCGCAAGCCUGACCCAGCAACGCCGCGUGAAGGAAGAAGGCUUUCGGGUUGUAAACUUCUUUUGUCAGGGACGAAGCAAGUGACGGUACCUGACGAAUAAGCCACGGCUAACUACGUGCCAGCAGCCGCGGUAAUACGUAGGUGGCAAGCGUUAUCCGGAUUUACUGGGUGUAAAGGGCGAGUAGGCGGGAAAGCAAGUCAGAUGUGAAAACUGUGGGCUCAACCCAUAGCUUGCAUUUGAAACUGUUUUUCUUGAGUACUGGAGAGGCAGAUGGAAUUCCUAGUGUAGCGGUGAAAUGCGUAGAUAUUAGGAGGAACACCAGUGGCGAAGGCGAUCUGCUGGACAGCAACUGACGCUGAGGCGCGAAAGCGUGGGGAGCAAACAGGAUUAGAAACCCCUGUAGUCC